AAUGGCACUAGAUGAAUUCACGG
rnacentral:miRNA from 3 species